AUAGUACCUUGAGGGGGGGAAAAUAAAUUAAAAUAUUCAAAAGUGUAUGUAUUCAAUUACAUUGUAUUGGUAUAUAGUCUCUUUAUGUAUCAUCAUAUAUAUACAUUUUUCCUGCUGCACAACAGAAUGACAUCAUCAGGCUCGAGAAGGGGGUUGGUGAGCAUAGCAAGCAGGGUACGGCCCUCUAGUACUAGUUGAAAACUGUGUACACAUAUUAACUGGUACCUUCACGGUGACCUUUGAGGUAGAUGAAUAUUAUUCCAUUUUACAGUAUAGGGAAUCAGAGGUAGAGUGUUAAAGGGACCUGUCUAAGCUCACCCAGCCAUGGCACUGGCAGAGCUGUAGUGUGAUUUCUGGAUUUCCUGACUGUCUUUUGCUUAUUCCUUCAAAUGUCACUAUGCCUACUUCUAACAAUACUUUCAUGCAGAAUUACAUUUUCUUGUGUAGGAGGAGACUUGCACUUCUUAAAUUUCAUUUUCUUACUAGAGUUGUGGGACAUUUGUUACACACAUUUUUUGUCAGAUAUUUGAUAUUUAACUCUACACCUUUCAAAACAUAAAGCCAACAUACUUUUGUGGUGCUCGCUUUUCAGACAGGCAAGAAUUUCUGACCAGGCCUCUCCUGUGCCAUGUAUGUACAAUAGUUGUAAUUUCUGAGCCUACUAUUGCUGGUGGCACCCUUUAUAGUAAAUAUGAUAUGCUAUAAAAGUCCUAUGUAAAAAGACAUAAGUCAGUCUCUAACAUGUUUUGAGCUCUUAGAACACUGAAGGGAAAAAUGUAAGGUUUAGUAUUUAAAAUCUUGUGUGUUGUUGCUUGAACUUCUUAUAGUUUCUGUAUAUGUGUGGGAAGAACAUGAGCUCAUAUAUUCCAAGGCCAGAAGAGACCACUGUGAUCUUUUAAUCUGAUUUUCUGUAUAACACAGGCCAUAGAACUUCCUUAUAAUUCCUACUGUAUAUUGUAUAGUAAAACAUCCAUUCUUGCUUUUAAAAUUGCCACCCUUGGCAACUCUUUGUUAAUUGUUCCAGAGUUUAAUUGUAAAAUUAAUUUCUGCUUCUUAUAGAUCCUCCUUGUUUGUAAUUGUAUGAAUAUUAUUUUGAAGUAUUGAUAUUUAUCAAGGAGAUAACAUCUUUUAUUGGAUCAACUUUAAUUGGAGAGACAAGCUUUUGAGUGUACACAGAGCUCUUCUUCAGGUGACUGAUUCAGCAAUUUUCUAUAAUAUCCUGGACGAACCUUAGUACAUUAAGAAAAGAAACAAAGAACAUACCUGGUAUUUCUACCUGAAGUAAAGAGAGUAAUUUCAAAAUAAAGAUGGGAAUCCAGCAUAAUGCAUCAGUAAAAACAAUGAAGAAAAAGCGUUUAGCAAGGGUCAUUUCUUUUUUAAUAUGAUUCCGGAUUUCAGUUGCUGUGAUGGCUGUUCGGUGAACACUGUAAAACAUACUUCCGUAGGAAAACACAAUGAUGAUAAAAGCUGCCAAGUUUACACCU